UUUCCGUAGGUGAACCUGCGGAAGGAUCAUUACCGAAUUGUCAAACUGGUUGUUGCUGGUGUUCAAACGGGGACUUGUGCACGCUCUGUUUACACAUCCACUCACACCUGUGCACCCUCCGUAGUUCUAUGGUCUGGGGGAGCCUGUCUUCCUGCCGUGGUUCUACGUCUUUACAAAAACUCUGUAAUAAAGUAUUAUGGAAUGUAUGCCGCGUCUAACGCAAUACAAUACAACUUUCAGCAACGGAUCUCUUGGCUCUC
rnacentral:misc_RNA from 1 species